UUCGGUCCCUAUCUGCCGUGGGCGCUGGAGAACUGAGGGGGGCUGCUCCUAGUACGAGAGGACCGGAGUGGACGCAUCACUGGUGUUCGGGUUGUCAUGCCAAUGGCACUGCCCGGUAGCUAAAUGCGGAAGAGAUAAGUGCUGAAAGCAUCUAAGCACGAAACUUGCCCCGAGAUGAGUUCUCCCUGACUCCCUGAGAGUCCUGAAGGAACGUUGAAGACGACGACGUUGAUAGGCCGGGUGUGUAAGCGCAGCGAUGCGUUGAGCUAACCGGUACUAAUGAACCGUGAGGCUUAACCUUACAACGCCGAAGCUGUU
rnacentral:rRNA from 1 species